rnacentral:rRNA from 1 species
UGGAGAGUUUGAUCCUGGCUCAGAUUGAACGCUGGCGGCAUGCCUUACACAUGCAAGUCGAACGGCAGCAUGAUCUAGCUUGCUAGAUUGAUGGCGAGUGGCGAACGGGUGAGUAAUACAUCGGAACGUGCCCUGUAGUGGGGGAUAACUAGUCGAAAGAUUAGCUAAUACCGCAUACGACCUGAGGGUGAAAGUGGGGGACCGCAAGGCCUCAUGCUAUAGGAGCGGCCGAUGUCUGAUUAGCUAGUUGGUGAGGUAAAGGCUCACCAAGGCGACGAUCAGUAGCUGGUCUGAGAGGACGAUCAGCCACACUGGGACUGAGACACGGCCCASGACUCCUUACGGGRAGGCAGCAGUGGGGAAUUUUGGACAAUGGGGGCAACCCUGAUCCAGCAAUGCCGCGUGUGUGAAGAAGGCCUUCGGGUUGUAAAGCACUUUUGUCCGGAAAGAAAUCGCACUUACUAAUAUUAGGUGUGGAUGACGGUACCGGAAGAAUAAGGACCGGCUAACUACGUGCCAGCAGCCGCGGUAAUACGUAGGGUUCAAGCGUUAAUCGGAAUUACUGGGCGUAAAGCGCACGCAGG